rnacentral:rRNA from 1 species
AGGAUGAACGCUGGCGGCGUGCCUAAUACAUGCAAGUCGAACGAGGUCUUCGGACCGAGUGGCGAACGGGUGAGUAACACGUUGGUACCUACCCCGAAGUGGGGAAUAACUGCCCGAAAGGGUGGCUAAUACCGCAUAAUACCGCAAGGUUAAAGCAGUAAUGCGCUUCGGGAGGGGCCUGCGUCCCAUUAGCUAGUUGGUAGGGUAAUGGCCUACCAAGGCGACGAUGGGUAGCUGGAUCGAGAGGUUGACCAGCCACACUGGGACUGAGAUACGGCCCAGACUCCUACGGGAGGCAGCAGUAAGGAAUCUUCCACAAUGGACGAAAGUCUGAUGGAGCAACGCCGCGUGCAGGAUGACGGCCUUCGGGUUGUAAACUGCUUUAUAUGGGAAGAUUAUGACGGUACCAUAUGAAUAAGGACCGGCUAACUACGUGCCAGCAGCCGC